AUGGCGAAAGAGACGGUGACCAUGUUCACAAUCCGUUCGGCGAAAUGCCCCUGGGCGUCCGUCGGCGCGGCCGGCGCCCUCGUGAUGCUCGUCACCGCCGUCCAUGUAUUCAUGGUGCCGAUCCUGCCCUCGUCCCUGGAUUUCUCGGGCGCUCGCCGCAGCGUCGACCACCGGCCGAGGAACGUGCUCCCGGGCGCCGGGGUUGUGGACUCGCGCCUCAGGUCUCGGUUUCCUGCUGAUUCAUAUGAAGCCGUGACAUUCCGGGCCGCGCCGUGGAAGGCCGAGAUUGGGAGGUGGCUCGCUGGGUGCCAUGCCGAAUCUUCGGCUGUCAAUAUUACUGAAGUUAUUGGCACAAAGAGGUGCGAGAAAGACUGCAGUGGAAAUGGUGUGUGCAACUAUGACCUGGGGGAAUGCAGAUGCUUCCAUGGAUAUGCUGGAAAAGGAUGUGAGAGGGUUCUGAAGUUGGAGUGCAACCUCCCAAGUUCCCCAGAAUGGCCUGUAGGACCAUGGAUAGUUUCCAUAUGUCCAGCCCACUGUGACACAACCAGGACAAUGUGCUUUUGUGGACCAGGAACAAAAUACCCGGAUCGCCCUGUGGCAGAAGCUUGCGGCUUUAAAACAAUCGUGCCUGCAAAACCUGAUGACCCGAAGCUUACCGACUGGACAACACCUGAUCCGGAUGUAUUCACAACAAACAGCAGUAAGCUAGGAUGGUGCAAUGUGGACCCUGAGGAUGCAUAUUCUUCCAAAGUGAGGUUUAAAGAAGAAUGUCAUUGCAAAUAUGAUGGACUCUGGGGGCAGUUUUGUGAGACACAUGUUGAAUGCAUUUGUAUUAACCAGUGUUCCGGACAUGGACAUUGCCGUGGUGGUUUCUGUCAAUGCGACAGUGGAUAUUUUGGGAUUGAUUGCAGCAUCCCAUCGGCUUAUUCAGUUGCAUAUGAAUGGCCCUCAUGGCUCCAACCACCAGUGAACCUACCAGACCUAAAAAAUUUAAGCAAUAUCCCCAUCAAUGUCAAUGCUAUUGUUGAGAAAAAAAGACCACUAAUAUAUGUGUACGAUUUGCCAGCUGAGUUUGACAGUCAUCUUCUUGAAGGACGACAUUACAAGUUAGAGUGUGUGAACAGAAUAUAUGAUGAAAAGAACAGAACUAUAUGGACGCGGCAACUGUAUGGUGCUCAGAUGGCACUCUAUGAGAGCAUUCUUGCUAGCCCUCACCGCACACUGAAUGGGGAUGAAGCUGAUUAUUUCUAUGUGCCGGUUCUUGAUUCAUGUCUAAUAACUAGAUCCGAUGAUGCCCCACACCUGCAGAUGCCGGAGGACCUGCGCCUCAGGAGUUACCAUACUCUUGAGUACUACAGAAAGGCUUAUGAUCACAUAGCUCAGAGGUAUCCUUACUGGAACCGCACUUCUGGAAGAGACCAUAUUUGGUUCUUUUCAUGGGAUGAAGGUGCCUGCUAUGCUCCAAAGGAGAUCUGGAACAGCAUGAUGCUUGUCCACUGGGGAAAUACCAACACAAAACAUGAAAAAUCAACGACUGCUUAUUGGGCUGACAACUGGGAUGAUAUUCCUUUGGAUAGAAGAGGCAACCAUCCAUGUUUCGAUCCGAGAAAGGACCUCGUGCUUCCAGCAUGGAAGGAGCCUAACCCAGGGGCCAUCUGGUUAAAACUAUGGGCAAGGCCAAGGAUCAAUCGUACAACACUUUUUUAUUUCAAUGGUAAUCUAGGACCAGCCUAUGAAAAGGGUCGCCGUGAAGACACGUAUAGUAUGGGGAUUAGGCAAAAGCUGGCAGCUGAAUUCGGUUCAACACCAAACAAGCAAGGGAAGCUUGGAAGGCAGCAUACAGCCAACGUAACAGUUACGUACUUAAAAUCUGAGAUGUAUUAUGAGGAACUAGCAAGCUCCAUUUUCUGUGGUGUCUUGCCAGGGGAUGGCUGGAGUGGGCGCAUGGAAGACAGCAUGCUUCAAGGAUGCAUUCCUGUCAUAAUACAGGAUGGCAUACUUCUUCCGUACGAGAAUGUGCUUAAUUACAACAGUUUUUCUGUCCGCAUACAAGAAGAUGACAUCCCCAACCUCAUUGGAGUCCUUCAAGGAAUGAAUGAAACACAAAUAGAGUUUAUGUUAGGAAAUGUUCGCCAGAUCUGGCAGAGGUUCUUUUAUCGUGACACCAUGUUGCUAGAGGCAGAGAGGCAGAAAAGGUUGUUCCCCGAAGAGGAGGCACCCUGGUCAGUUGAGGUUUCGAAACUAGAAGAUGGUGAUGACGUCUUUGCAACUUUCAUACAGGUAUUGCAUUACAAGUUAUACAAUGACCCAUGGCGGCAAGGUCUCCUCCUAGAAAACGAAACCGGUUUGCCGAACAUCUGCUCAAAGGCUUCCUGA
rnacentral:rRNA from 1 species